rnacentral:rRNA from 1 species
AAGACCUUGCACUUUUGGAGCGGCCGAUGUCUGAUCAGCUAGUUGGUGGGGUAAUGGCCUACCAAAGCUUCGAUCAGUAGCUGGUCUGAGAGGACGGCCAGCCACACUGGGACUGAGACACGGCCCAGACUCCUACGGGAGGCAGCAGUGGGGAAUUUUGGACAAUGGGCGCAAGCCUGAUCCAGCCAUGCCGCGUGAGUGAAGAAGGCCUUCGGGUUGUAAAGCUCUUUCAGCCGGGAAGAAAAGGUUGCGAUUAAUAAUCGCAAUUUAUGACGGUACCGGAAGAAGAAGCACCGGCUAACUACGUGCCAGCAGCCGCGGUAAUACGUAGGGUGCGAGCGUUAAUCGGAAUUACUGGGCGUAAAGGGUGCGCAGGCGGUUUUGUAAGUCAGAUGUGAAAUCCCCGGGCUUAACCUGGGAACU